rnacentral:tRNA from 1 species
UCCCUGGUGGUCCAGUGGCUAAGACGCUGCACUCCCGAUGCAGGCGGCCAGGUUCAAUCUCUGGUCAGGGAA